AAUCAUUUAGUUUCAAGUUGGCUCAAGCAUUCAGGAUCAAAAGAGUGGCUGUUGACUUGUUUUAGCCGGAAACCCACAUGUGUCUGGACAUGAAGCAGCUCACUGUGACUGUGUGGCUGGAAUAUCUUCCUGUCGUUGAUGUUUUUCUUCACCUGUGUGCAGAUGCACCACAACCACCUGCUGCAAAGGCUCUGCAGCCUCUACACUGAUGAUAGCGGGAUUUGACUAGGCCGUCCUCAGGAAGAGAGCUCCUGGUGCUCUUUGGAAUAUUUUUAUUGUAACUGAGCCCCUGGGCCUAAACGUGACGGCGGCUGCAUGCAGGGCUGAUGCGACGUCGGCCCUUCAGCCGGUCCUACACUCACAAAUUCAGGUUACAGCAGACAGACGAGUUCCUCGUUCCAACGAGUUUUUAUUUUCAUUUUUAAACAGUUUCAUUUCUAAACACUUAAAAACAUGACAUCAUUUCCAGAAGCACCA